rnacentral:tRNA from 1 species
AAAAAGAUAAGCUAAGUAAAGCUGUUGGGUUCAUACCCCGAAUAUAAAGUCUAUACUUUUCUUUUUA